CGUGAGCGAUGAAGGCCUUCGGGUCGUAAAGCUCUGUUGUCAGGGAAGACAAGUAUCGGAGUAACUGCCGGUACCUUGACGGUACCUGACCAGAAAGCCACGGCUAACUACGUGCCAGCAGCCGCGGUAAUACGUAGGUGGCAAGCGUUGUCCGGAAUUAUUGGGCGUAAAGCGCGCGCAGGCGGUUCCUUAAGUCUGAUGUGAAAGCCCCCGGCUCAACCGGGAGGGUCAUUGGAAACUGGGGAACUUGAGUGCAGAAGAGGAGAGCGGAAUUCCACGUGUAGCGGUGAAAUGCGUAGAGAUGUGGAGGAACACCAGUGGCGAAGGCGGCUCUCUGGUCUGUAACUGACGCUGAGGCGCGAAAGCGUGGGGAGCGAACAGGAUUAGAUAACCCUGGUAGUCCACGCCGUAAACGAUGAGUGCUAAGUGUUAGAGGGUUUCCGCCCUUUAGUGCUGCAGCAAACGCAUUAAGCACUCCGCCUGGGGAGUACGGCCGCAAGGCUG
rnacentral:rRNA from 1 species